CCAGACUCUGAAAUUUGUGAUUUUGACUUUGAUCCUUGUGGCUACUCUAUGAAUGCUAUUGAAGGUGAUGCUGUGUCGACUAUCCAUGUGACUCCUGAAGAUGGGUUCAGCUAUGCUAGCUUUGAAAUGAUGGGAUACAACCCCAAGGAAGUGGAUCUGAACGGAGUGGUGAAAAGGGUUCUGGAUUGCUUCAAGCCAAGUGAGUUCUCUGUGGCGGUGCACGCCAAUGUCGCUGGUAUGAAAGAGGUGGAGCAAGCAUGCUCCCUGAAUGUGAAGGGAUACAGUCGCGGAGAGAGGAGCCGUGAGGAGCUUGGAAUGGGUGGGUCCAUUGUCUACCAGAAGUUUGAUGCUUCUUCGGUGGAUGGUUCUGGCUCUCCUAGGUCAACUCUGAAGGGCUGCUGCUUCAAAGAGGAGGACGAGGAAGUUUAAAUAUUUUCUUCAGUUCUCUUUGUUCUUAUCUUUCAUUGUUUCGGGUUAAAAACUGUGAUCGUCUGUUAUGAAUAAAGGGCCAAUUGCAUAUCAUUGCGAUUGAGUUUCAAGCAUUUGAGUCUGUGUUUGUUUCUUUUUUAUUUUUGCUCUCCUGCAUUAGUAGGAGACUAUUACUAAGUACUAUGGGUUUGUAAUGAAGAGGCUUUUAUGUCCUCAUGGAUUUGUUAUGAUUAUUAAAGUGAACUUUUAAGUGUCUUAUUUUAUG
rnacentral:lncRNA from 1 species